rnacentral:RNase_P_RNA from 1 species
CAAGAUGGCUGGGUGGUUGCUCUCCUUUUAAGGAGAGAGGAAAGUCCGAGCUUCAAUCGAGCUGGAUGCCCGUUAACUGCGGGGCGAGGGGACUCGACGGAAAGUGCCACAGAAACAUACCGUCUCUUAUUAAUUUAAUUAUUAAGAGAUAAGGGUGAAAUGGUGAGGUAAGAGCUCACCGCCUUGGUGGUAACAUCAAGGGCAGGGCAAACCCCAUUCGAAGCAAGGCCAAGCAGAGGACCUGAAUUAAUUUAGGUAAAAGAGAGCUCGAUCUCUACUCGGGUCGGCCGCAUGAACUAGUUGGCAACAUCUAGGCUAGAUAGAUAAUCACCACUUGCCAUUUGUGGAGGAAGAAGUCUAAGGACGUAAACUCACAUGUAUGGCUUGUACAGAACUCGGCUUACAGGCCAUCUUGCGAC